rnacentral:lncRNA from 1 species
AUUUUGAAACAUCUUCAAUGUCAUCUUGACUUAAUGUGAUGCUGUUGCUCGGCGUUUAGAAGCCAAUACUGAGAACAUUUUGUGUCUAUCAGGUUUUUGAUAAAUCUUUUGUUAUGAAUAAAGUGCCCUUCCUCAGUUUUCCGUAUAAUCUUAUCAAACUACAGAAGUGAAGGAUUCAUAAAUGAUAGAAGCACACUUGCCGCUUGCUGCUUGUCUAUAUUUCACUUCUCUUUUGCUUUUUGCAAAAGCAUUAGAAGUAGAAGGAAGCUAAAAUGAUCCGACAAAGAGCUUAUAUAAUGAAUCACACUUAAACACAAACUGCUUGGAUUGUUUGAGUUCCUUUGUUUAAUGUUUCGUGGCAUCAUUUCUUUGACCUGCGACAAGGUCACAUUUUGCGACACUCUAAAGCAGAAAAUGUUAUUGCUUCUGGAUGUGUUUUUAUUCCAUUUGUAACAUCUUCAAUGUCACAUUUGAUUUCAUUGAUUUUAUUAGAGCAAAAUAUUUGCCAACCAAUACGGAGAGCAUUUUUGGAGGAUUUUGGAUAAAAUUAAGUCAUGGCAAUACCUGGUAUCUCUGAGUCUUUUAGUAAGUAUUAACAUUGAUCUUUUCAUCAGCUUUGUAGAAUUUUAUAGGAAUUUUCUUUCCAUCGGAAGCCACAACACCCGAAGCCAUAACUUGAGCUGGAUGUUUUGUUUUGAAUGUCGAUUUUGUGAUAAAUCUGUCAUUUGAAAGCUAAAACAAUGCAAUGUGUUUUUAUUCCGUUUCUGACAUCUUCAAUGUCACCUUUUAUCUCUUGGAUGUUAUUAUUGCAAAAUAUUUGCCAACCAAUACAGAGAGCAUCUUUGGAGGAUUUUAGAUAAAAUUAAGUCAUGGCAAUACCUGGUUUCUCUGAGUCUUUUAGUAAGUAUUAACAUUGAUCUUUUCAUCAGCUUUGUAGAAUUUUAUAGGCAUUUUCUUUCCAUCGGAAGCCACAACACCCGAAGCCAUAACUAGAGCUGGAUGUUUUGUUUUGAAUGUCGAUUUUGUGAUAAAUCUGUCAUUUGAAGGCUAAAACAAUGCGAUGUGUUUUUAUUCUGUUUCUGACAUCUUCAAUGUCACCUUUGAUCUCUUGGAUGUUAUUAUUGCAAAAUAUUUGCCAACCAAUACAGAGAGCAUCUUUGGAGGAUUUUGGAUAAAAUUUGCGACAUUUUCAAUGUUGUUCAAAAACUUUGAAAAGCCAACACCCAGAAGGUUUUACUUUAUCUGGAUUUCUUUUGAUAAAUCUUUUGAUAUAAUUAGUCCCCUUCCUAAGUUUUCUGUAUAAUCUUAUCAAACUACAGAAGUGAAGGAUUCAUAAAUGAUAGAAUUAAAGCACACUUGCCGCUUGUUGCUUGUCUAUAUUUCACUUCUCUUUUGCUUUUUGCAGAGCAUUAGAAGUAGAAAGAAGCUAAAAUGGUCCGACAAAGAGCUUAUAUAAUGAAUCACACUUAAACACAAACCGCUUGGAUUGUUUGAGUUCCUUUGUUUAAUGUUUCGUGGCGUCAUUUCUUUGACCUGCAACAAGGUCACAUUUUGCGACACUCUAAAGCAGAACCACUUAGUGCUUCUGGAUGUGUUUUUAUUCCAUUUGUUACAUCUUCAAUGUCACGUUUGAUUUCUUUGAUUUUAUUAGAGCAAAAUAUUUGUCAGCCAAUACAAAGAGCAUCUUUGGAGGAUUUUGGAUAAAAUUAAGCCAUGUCAAUACCUGGUAUCUCUGAGUCUUUUAGUAAAUAUUAACAUUGAUCUUUUCAUCAGCUUUGUAGAAUUUUAUAGGCAUUUUCUUUCCAUCCGAAGCCACAACACCCGAAGCCAUAACUUGAGCUGGAUGUUUUCUUUUGAAUGUCGAUUUUGUGAUAAAUCUGUCAUUUGAAGGCUAAAACAAUGCGAUGUGUUUUUAUUCCGUUUCUGACAUCUUCAAUGUCUCCUUUGAUUUCAUUGAUGUUAUUAUUGCAAAAUAUUUGCCAACCAAUACAGAGAGCAUCUUUGGAGGAUUUUGGAUAAAAUUUGCGACAUUUUCAAUGUUCAUCAACUUUGAGAAGCCAAUACUUUAUCUGGAUUUCUUUUGAUAAAUGUUUUGAUAUAAUUAGUCCCCUUCCUAAGUUUUCUGUAUAAUCUUAUUAAACUACAGAUGUAAAUAAUUCAUAAAUGAUAGAAGCACACUUGCCGCUUGUUGCUUGCCUAUAUUUCACUUCUGUUUUGUUUCACAAGUCCUUUAAUGGUUUCCUUCCAUGACCCCUAAAACAUUUUUCACAACAUCAAUAUGCAAUGUUAUCAACCUCCGUUUCUUUGCGAGGAAAAGAUGCUAGAAAUAGAAGGAAACCAAAAUUGUCCAAAGAAAAACUUCUAAAAUGGGUCACUCUUACAAUAGAGCAGCCCUUUUUUAUUUGGAUUGUCUUGUGUAAAGAUUUGUGGCAUCAUUUCCUUGACCUGUCACUUGGCCAUAUUUUGUGACAACAUAAAGCAGAACAACUUCAACAACCUCCAUUUCUUGUGUUGUCUUAAGUUUGAGACACCAAUGCAAGAAAGAACUUUCUUUUACUUGGCCUAUUUCGAAGAAAUUUUCUCAUAUUUUAAGUCACCUUGCUUAAUUUUCUUUAUAAUCUUAUCCAAGUACAUUAAGAAUAGAACCACACUCCCCGGUUGUUGCUGGUCUAUAUUUCACUUCUCAUUUUCUUUACAAAGCAUUUCAUGGUUUAAUUUCAUUCCCCACUUCACACUAUUAAAAUAUUUUUGACUGCACCAAUCUAUAAUGUUUAUCAAUCUCCAUUUGUUGUGUUGUCUUAAGUUUGAGACGCCAAUGCAAGAAAGAACUUUCUUUUACUUGGCCUAUUUCGAAGAAAUUUUCUCAUCGUGUAAAGAUUUGUGGCAUCAAAUGCAUAAACUUGGAUUCGUCAAUUUCUAAAACAACAUCUUGUCCACCAAAAUAUUUUUCACAACAUCAGUCUUUCCUUCUUGUAGUUCUUUGCAACGAAAUCUGCUAGAAAUACAGGGAAACUCAAAUAGUCUGGCAAAAAAAACUUCUGAAAUCGUUCACCCUUCAAAUAGAACUUAUUUUCUUUUGAUUGUCUUGUAUACUUACUUGUAUUUGUACUUGUGGUGACAUUCAUCCGGGGCCGGUUGAUUCGGCUUCUUCUACCACCCUUGAGGCAUCUUGAACCAUGGCACCCCACGCACGACGGUCCUGCGCCAAUUCACUGGAGAUAGUGAGCCAGUCACGGUUCCAUCGGCGCACGCUGACCACCUGCGAUCCCGUGAGCAUGGAGAGGUCCUCCGGAAGAAGUUUUGUGGGAAUAUGUUGAUUUCACAAGCGGUCCCCAACAAUCCCACAUGUAGGAACAUCCUGUUUGCCACAGAUUGUCCGCAGACGCAGGGACAGAACGACCGAGGAGCCACCGGUUGCCGAAGCAGACACUCUGAGGAUUUUCACCAGAGCCCCGUCUGCCGGGUUGUGACCUUAAUACCACUUGGUGUCAAACCAAAAUGCCUUGGGUGGCCCUACCAGGAACCGAAGUUCCCAACGGCAUAGCUCUGACACUACCCAUUGCUAGCGUCCCGGGUUGUGGCCCUAAUACCACUCGGUGUCAGACCAAUCUGCUUUGGGUGGCCCCUACCAGGAACCGAAGUUCCCGACGGCAUAGCUCUGACAGUACCCAUUGCUAGCGUCCCGGGUUGUGGCCCUAAUACCACUCGGUGUCAGACCAAUCUGCCUUGGGUGGCCCUACCAGGAACCGAAGUUCCCGACGGCAUAGCUCUUACACUACCCAUUGCUAGCGUCCUGGGUUGUGGCCCUAAUACCACUCGGUGUCAGACCAAUCUGCCUUGGGUGGCCCUACCAUGAACCGAAGUUCCCGAUGGCAUAGUUUUGACACUACCCAUUGCUAGCGUCCCGGGUUGUGGCCCUAAUACCACUCGGUGUCAGACCAAUCUGCCUUGGGUGGCCCUACCAGGAACCGAAGUUCCCGACGGCAUAGCUCUUAUACUACCCAUUGCUAGCGUCCUGGGUUGUGGCCCUAAUACCACUCGGUGUCAGACCAAUCCGCCUUGGGUGGCCCUACCAUGAACCGAAGUUCCCGACGGCAUAGUUCUGACACUACCCAUUGCUAGCGUCCCGGGUUGUGGCCCUAAUACCACUCGGUGUCAGACCAAUCUGCCUUGGGUGGCUCUACCAGGAAUCGAGGUUCCGGACAGCAGAGCUCUGACACUACCCGUUGCCAGCGUCCCCACCACGGUGAGGAGGGGAUGGACUUUGGGGACACAAUUGUCUUGUAUAAAGUGUAGUGGCAUCAUUUCCUGGACCUGUGUCAUGGUCACAUUUUGCAACACUCCAAAGCAGAACCACUUAUUGCUUCUGGAUGUGUUUUCAUUCCAUUUGUGACCCCUUCAAUGUCACGUUCUUUGAUUUCCCUUAACGUUUCUGCUAAAUAUCUGCCAAACAAUACAAACAGCAUCUUCUAUCAUUUGGAUGGUUUGGGCUAAAUUUUGCGAUAUUUUCAAUGCUUCAGUGACUUUUCUUUGUUUUACUCCUAAUGGACUUGUGCAUAUAGUUGCUUGCUUAAUUAAACAAGUCGAUACUUUCUAAUGCUUUUUAUGAAAUUCGUGGAAGCAUUGUAUGUUGGACUUUUUGCACCAAGAACAUGGCAACUCUGCCAAAAAUGAAGGAUCAGUCAAGAAGUACUGAACGUGGGUCUAAGAAGAUGCGUUCCUUUCGUAUUGUCCAAAGCGACUUUAUGUCCGCACCAGGACAGAAUUGUUCAGCUCCUGCUUUUAAUAGCAUUUCUGAAGUUUAAGGUAGUAUUGUUAAAUAUUUAGCAGCAAAUACAAAGAACAACUUAUUUUAUUUGGAUAUUUUUGGAGAAAUUCUUUAACAUAAUUAAAGUUCUCUUCCUCAAUUUUCUUCCUAAUCUUAUCAAACCUGCAUAAUUCAUAAAUGAUAAACACUAGAACCACACUCGCCGGUUGUUGCUUGUCUAUAUUUCACUGUUCCAUCUUUUGAGUGGAACAUGCUAAGAGCUGAUAGUGAUAGGAUUUUGAAGAAAACCCUUAUAAAAAGAGGUAAACAAUAAUACAAAGAAGGUGAUGGUUUUUAAAAUCUCACUUAAAAUGGCAUUUAUACUGGAAACCUGAGUUUUGUCUAAUGCAGUGAUCACUAACCUUUUUUUUGUGCCACAGAAUGGUUUCAUACCGGACACUUUCCACGCACCAAUAGUGGCACAUGUGUGUAAUUUAAGUGCAUUUUGAUAAACUUAGCAAUUAUAGAAAAUGAAAAGAGAUAGAUAAUUAAAUUCUCCCUCCUCAAUUCUCAUUAUCUUAUCCAACUGCAGAAGUGAAUAAUUCUUAAAUGAGAAACAAUAAAAUCACACUCGCCGGUUGUUGCUUGUCUAUAUUUCACUUCUCAUUUUCUUUUUGCAAAGGGUUUGAUGGUUUCGUUUCAUUUCUCCUAAGCAUCUUUCACAAUCUUAUCAAACUCCAUUUCUUGUCAACGAAAGAUGCUAGAAAUAGAAAGAAGCUAAAAUGAUCAGACGAAGAACUUAUAUAACGGGUCGUACUUAAAACAGAACCACUUUGAUUUUCACUAGAGCCCCAUCUGCAGGGUUGUGGCCCUAAUACCACUCGGUGUCAGACCAAUCUGCCUUUGGUGGCUCUACCAGGAACCGAAGUUCCCGACGGCAGAGCUCUGACACUACCCGUUGCCAGCGUCCCCACCACGGUGAGGAGGGGAUGGACUUUGGGGACACAAUUGUCUUGUAUAAAGUGUAGUGGCAUCAUUUCCUGAACCUGUGUCAUGGUCACAUUUUGCAACACUUCAAAGCAGAACCACUUAUUGCUUCUGGAUGUGUUUUUAUUCCAUUUGUUACAUCUUCAAUGUCACGUUUGAUUUCUAUGAUUUUAUUAGAGCAAAAUAUUUGCCAACCAAUACAGAGAGCAUUUUUGGAGGAUUUUGGAUAAAAUUAAGCCAUGUCAAUACCUGGUUUCUCUGAGUCUUUUAGUAAGUAUUAACAUUGAUCUUUUCAUCAGCUUUGUAGAAUUUUAUAGGAAUUUUCUUUCCAUCGGAAGCCACAACACCCGAAGCCAUAACUUGAGCUGGAUGUUUUGUUUUGAAUGUCGAUUUUGUGAUAAAUCUGUCAUUUGAAGGCUAAAACAAUGCGAUGUGUUUUUAUUCCGUUUCUGACAUCUUCAAUGUCACCUUUGAUCUCUUGGAUGUUAUUAUUGCAAAAUAUUUGCCAACCAAUACAGAGAGCAUCUUUGGAGGAUUUUGGAUAAAAUUUGCGACAUUUUCAAUGUUGUUCAAAAACUUUGAAAAGCCAACACCCAGAAGGUUUUACUUUAUCUGGAUUUCUUUUGAUAAAUCUUUUGAUAUAAUUAGUCCCCUUCCUAAGUUUUCUGUAUAAUCUUAUAAAAUAAAACAGUAAAAAGGUAUGAAACGCAAUAUUAAUUGUCUAUUCUUAACGAACAAAUGAAAUAUUAAUUGUCCAUUCUUAUUGGACUAGUAUACUUUCUUGCAUUUAUGCAAUCUUCAGGUUCAUAUGGUUUUGGUAACGGUCAUGUUCAUUGGUUUCAACUGCACUAUUUUUUAUUCACCAUACGAGUUUAGACAGAGAGGACACUACAAUACAUUGGGGACACUACAACACAUUUUUUGUGUUCAUAUAUGGGCCAGUAUGAAAUUCGUGGAAGCAUUGUAUGUUGGACAUUGGCCCCAAGAAUAUAGCUACUCUGCCAAAAAUGAAGGAUCAGUCAAGAAGUACUGAACGUGGGUCUAAGAAGAUGCGUUCCUUUCGUAUUGUCCAAAGCGACUUUAUGUCCGCACCAGGACAGAAUUGUUCAGCUCCUGCUUUUAAUAGCAUUUCUGAAGUUUAAGGUAGUAUUGUUAAAUAUUUAGCAGCAAAUACAAAGAACAACUUAUUUUAUUUGGAUAUUUUUGGAGAAAUUCUUUAACAUAAUUAAAGUUCUCUUCCUCCAUUUUCUUCCUAAUCUUAUCAAACCUGCAUAAUUCAUAAAUGAUAAACACUAGAACCACACUCGCCGGUUGUUGCUUGUCUAUAUUUCACUGGGCAUCUUUAGAUUGCUUUGAUUCAAUUCAAUUUUUAUUGGUUCAGAAAGCAAAAGCAAGGCCAUGUAGUGGGACAGGGAGGGUGGUCAUACAAAGAGUUCAGGCCAUUUCUGGUCAAGGGAGACUUUGAACCGAGCGGUCGUCGGCAUCUUCACUAUCUCAUCUGGCAGCUUAUUUCAUGGAUCCGCAGUUCUCCUUAUCUUAUCCAGCUGCAGAAGUGAAUAAUUCGUAAAUGAUAAACAACAGAACUGCACUCGCCGGUUGUUGCUUGUCUAUAUUUCACUUCUCUUUUGCUUUUAGCAAAGCAUUAGAAGUAGAAGGAAGCUAAAAUGAUCCGACAAAGAGCUUAUAUAAUGAAUCACACUUAAACACAAACCGCUUGGAUUGUUUGAGUUCCUUUGUUUAAUGUUUCGUGGCAUCAUUUCUUUGACCUGCAACAAGGUCACAUUUUGCGUCACUCUAAAGCAGAAAAUGUUAUUGCUUCUGGAUGUGUUUUUAUUCCAUUUGUAACAUCUUCAAUGUCACGUUUGAUUUCUUGGAUGUCAUUAGAGUAAAAUAUUUGCCAGCCAAUACAAAGAGCAUCUUUGGAGGAUUUGGGAUAAAAUUAAGUCAUGUCAAUACCUGGUAUCUCUGAGUCUUUUAGUAAGUAUUAACAUUGAUCUUUUCAUCAGCUUUGUAGAAUUUUAUAGGCAUUUUCUUUCCAUCGGAAGCCACAACACCCGAAGCCAUAACUUGAGCUGGAUGUUUUGUUUUGAAUGUCGAUUUUGUGAUAAAUCUGUCAUUUGAAAGCUAAAACAAUGCGAUGUGUUUUUAUUCCGUUUCUGACAUCUUCAAUGUCACCUUUGAUCUCUUGGAUGUUAUUAUUGCAAAAUAUUUGCCAACCAAUACGGAGAGCAUUUUUGGAGGAUUUUGGAUAAAAUUAAGCCAUGUCAAUACCUGGUUUCUCUGAGUCUUUUAGUAAGUAUUAACAUUGAUCUUUUCAUCAGCUUUGUAGAAUUUUAUAGGAAUUUUCUUUCCAUCCGAAGCCACAACACCCGAAGCCAUAACUUGAGCUGGAUGUUUUCUCUUGAAUGUCGAUUUUGUGAUAAACCUGUCAUUUGAAGGCGAAAACAAUGCGAAGCGCACUGUGACCAGCGGUGUGUACCAACAUCUGAUAGCCUGGUCAGUCACGGUGAUAUAUAUAUAUAUAUAUAUAUAUAUAUAUAUAUAUAUAUAUAUAUAUAUAUACAUAUAUACACACACACACACACACAUACAAAGGGGUAUGUAUGAUUGUGUAUAGAAGAAUAUACUACUCAAAGGAAUUCCAACUCUGUUUUUCACAUUUUAUUUAUAAUCAUAUAAAAUAAAACAGUAAAAAGGUAUGAAACACAAUAUUAAUUGUCCAUUCUUAACGAACAAAUGAAAUAUUAAUUGUCCAUUCUUAUUGGACUAGUAUACUUUCUUGCAUUUAUGCAAUCUUCAGGUUCAUAUGGUUUUGGUGACGGUCAUGUUCAUUGGUUUCAACUGCACUAUUUUUUAGUCACCAUACGAGUUUAGACAGAGAGGACACUACAAUACAUUGGGGACACUACAACACAUUUUUUGUGUUCAUAUAUGGGCCAGUAUGAAUUAAUUGGCAUGUACAACACCGGUUAUCAUUGCCUAUAGACACAGUGAAUGGUUGGUCUUUGUUGCUAAGGCCAAACCUUGCCUUUGUUAAUAGCUUUUUCAAGCUUUUAGACUGUCUUUUACUAAGAGUUUAUAGUUUGGUCUGUAAUGAGAUCUUAAUUCCUUAUAUAUUAUGUGUGUAUAUAUAUAUAUAUAUAUAUAUGAGUGGAGAAACAAAAGAAGGGCACUCAAAUCAUUCAUUGGGAGUUACAUGUGUGGAUCAAAUUUGUUUCAUUUAGUUUCCUUUGUACUUCGAGUUUCAAAGCUUGAUGCUAAUUGUUAGCCCUUGGAAAUUUCUAAGAUUAGCGUCAUGUUUUGAAACUUGAAGUACCAAGAAAUUUGAAUAAAAUUGUUUUCAUCCCCUUAUAUAUAUAUUUGCUGUUUUUAAAUAAAUGUCCAGUUCCUUUGGUUUGUGUCUAUGUUUCCGUUUCUCUUUGUGUUCGACGUCCCUUUGGUGUCCUGUACUCAUAUAUGCGUGUAUAUAUGUACAUGUAGAGGUAGGUACGUACAUAUAUGUUUAUAUAUAUGCAUAUGUUUUAUUUCAUUUAUUAAUAUAUAUAUAUAUAUAAAUUAGAGAUAAAGCCACUAUUAGGCAACUCAAACAGUG